rfam:Bacillus endophyticus strain Hbe603, complete genome.
ACCUCCUUUUAAACGGAGUCCUGUGAGGCUCAUAAAGGUGGUGUGAUAGGAUACGUCUAUCAUCGCCUCUUUAUGCCCUCCGGUGUAAAGAGGUUUUUUAU